rnacentral:other from 1 species
UGCCCCCUGUGGUGUUUGCCAGCGGGACCGUUAAUGCCUUGUCCCUACAUUUUGACCUCGGGGUAGCUGAUCUGAGUGCUGGUGUGCAUGUUCGCUUACAGCGAAAAGCCUGAAGCCUCGUAAGCCAUCCCACCUGAACCUUUGGUUCAAGGUCACCGGACCGUAGCGGCACCACGGAGGGCUU